rnacentral:misc_RNA from 1 species
AUUUCUUCAGAAAUAUAAAGAGAUUGCUAAUCCUCGUUUUCUAGAGACGAAAGAGAUUGGGCUCUACUUUCAGAUGAAUGGUAUUCACUUGUGAGGCCUUCCCAUCUCCAUAUAUUUUUUAUUGUGAUUUCCAUUCGUUCGAAUUAAUAUACGCUACACUUGUAUAAAUUGACCCCAUUUUAUCAAAUCACCGUUUCAGCUCCGACGCCAAAGAAAAAAAAUAAAAUAAAAUAAAGACACAAUAGUCAUGCCAAAGAAAAA